rnacentral:rRNA from 1 species
AGAGUUUGAUCCUGGCUCAGAACGAACGCUGGCGGCGUGGAUAAGACAUGCAAGUCGAACGAGAGAAUUGCUAGCUUGCUAAUAAUUCUCUAGUGGCGCACGGGUGAGUAACACGUGAGUAACCUGCCCCCGAGAGCGGGAUAGCCCUGGGAAACUGGGAUUAAUACCGCAUAGUAUCGAAAGAUUAAAGCAGCAAUGCGCUUGGGGAUGGGCUCGCGGCCUAUUAGUUAGUUGGUGAGGUAACGGCUCACCAAGGCGAUGACGGGUAGCCGGUCUGAGAGGAUGUCCGGCCACACUGGAACUGAGACACGGUCCAGACACCUACGGGUGGCAGCAGUCGAGAAUCAUUCACAAUGGGGGAAACCCUGAUGGUGCGACGCCGCGUGGGGGAAUGAAGGUCUUCGGAUUGUAAACCCCUGUCAUGUGGGAGCAAAUUAAAAAGAUAGUACCACAAGAGGAAGAGACGGCUAACUCUGUGCCAGCAGCCGCGGUAAUACAGAGGUCUCAAGCGUUGUUCGGAAUCACUGGGCGUAAAGCGUGCGUAGGCUGUUUCGUAAGUCGUGUGUGAAAGGCGCGGGCUCAACCCGCGGACGGCACAUGAUACUGCGAGACUAGAGUAAUGGAGGGGGAACCGGAAUUCUCGGUGUAGCAGUGAAAUGCGUAGAUAUCGAGAGGAACACUCGUGGCAAAGGCGGGUUCCUGGACAUUAACUGACGCUGAGGCACGAAGGCCAGGGGAGCGAAAGGGAUUAGAUACCCCUGUAGUCCUGGCAGUAAACGGUGCACGCUUGGUGUGCGGGGAAUCGACCCCCUGCGUGCCGGAGCUAACGCGUUAAGCGUGCCGCCUGGGGAGUACGGUCGCAAGAUUAAAACUCAAAGAAAUUGACGGGGACCCGCACAAGCGGUGGAGUAUGUGGCUUAAUUCGAUGCAACGCGAAGAACCUUACCUGGGCUUGACAUGUAAUGAACAACAUGUGAAAGCAUGCGACUCUUCGGAGGCGUUACACAGGUGCUGCAUGGCCGUCGUCAGCUCGUGUCGUGAGAUGUUUGGUUAAGUCCAGCAACGAGCGCAACCCCUGUUGCCAGUUACCAGCACGUGAAGGUGGGGACUCUGGCGAGACUGCCCAGAUCAACUGGGAGGAAGGUGGAGACGACGUCAGGUCAGUAUGGCCCUUAUGCCCAGGGCUGCACACGUACUACAAUGCCCAGUACAGAGGGGGCCGAAGCCGCGAGGCGGAGGAAAUCCUAAAAACUGGGCCCAGUUCGGACUGUAGGCUGCAACCCGCCUACACGAAGCCGGAAUCGCUAGUAAUGGCGCAUCAGCUACGGCGCCGUGAAUACGUUCCCGGGUCUUGUACACACCGCCCGUCA